rnacentral:rRNA from 1 species
UACGUAGGGUGCGAGCGUUAAUCGGAAUUACUGGGCGUAAAGCGUGCGCAGGCGGUUGGUUAAGUCUGAUGUGAAAGCCCCGGGCUCAACCUGGGAAUGGCAUUGGAAACUGGCUAGCUGGAGUGUGGCAGAGGGGGGUGGAAUUCCGCGUGUAGCAGUGAAAUGCGUAGAGAUGUGGAGGAACACCGAUGGCGAAGGCAGCCCCCUGGGCUAACACUGACGCUCAUGCACGAAAGCGUGGGGAGCAAACAGG